GAUGAACGCUGGCGGCGUGCCUAAUACAUGCAAGUCGAGCGAACGGACGAGAAGCUUGCUUCUCUGAUGUUAGCGGCGGACGGGUGAGUAACACGUGGACAACCUACCUAUAAGACUGGGAUAACUUCGGGAAACCGGAGCUAAUACCGGAUAAUAUUUUGAACCGCAUGGUUCAAAAGUGAAAGACGGUCUUGCUGUCACUUAUAGAUGGAUCCGCGCUGCAUUAGCUAGUUGGUAAGGUAACGGCUUACCAAGGCAACGAUGCAUAGCCGACCUGAGAGGGUGAUCGGCCACACUGGAACUGAGACGCGGUCCAGACUCCUACGGGAGGCAGCAGUAGGGAAUCUUCCGCAAUGGGCGAAAGCCUGACGGAGCAACGCCGCGUGAGUGAUGAAGGUCUUCGGAUCGUAAAACUCUGUUAUUAGGGAAGAACAUAUGUGUAAGUAACUGUGCACAUCUUGACGGUACCUAAUCAGAAAGCCACGGCUAACUACGUGCCAGCAGCCGCGGUAAUACGUAGGUGGCAAGCGUUAUCCGGAAUUAUUGGGCGUAAAGCGCGCGUAGGCGGUUUUUUUAAGUCUGAUGUGAAAGCCCACGGCUCAACCGUGGAGGGUCAUUGGAAACUGGAAAACUUGAGUGCAGAAGAGGAAAGUGGAAUUCCAUGUGUAGCGGUGAAAUGCGCAGAGAUAUGGAGGAACACCAGUGGCGAAGGCGACUUUCUGGUCUGUAACUGACGCUGAUGUGCGAAAGCGUGGGGAUCAAACAGGAUUAGAUACCCUGGUAGUCCACGCCGUAAACGAUGAGUGCUAAGUGUUAGGGGGUUUCCGCCCCUUAGUGCUGCAGCUAACGCAUUAAGCACUCCGCCUGGGGAGUACGACCGCAAGGUUGAAACUCAAAGGAAUUGACGGGGACCCGCACAAGCGGUGGAGCAUGUGGUUUAAUUCGAAGCAACGCGAAGAACCUUACCAAAUCUUGACAUCCUUUGACAACUCUAGAGAUAGAGCUUUCCCCUUCGGGGGACAAAGUGACAGGUGGUGCAUGGUUGUCGUCAGCUCGUGUCGUGAGAUGUUGGGUUAAGUCCCGCAACGAGCGCAACCCUUAAGCUUAGUUGCCAUCAUUAAGUUGGGCACUCUAAGUUGACUGCCGGUGACAAACCGGAGGAAGGUGGGGAUGACGUCAAAUCAUCAUGCCCCUUAUGAUUUGGGCUACACACGUGCUACAAUGGACAAUACAAAGGGCAGCGAAACCGCGAGGUCAAGCAAAUCCCAUAAAGUUGUUCUCAGUUCGGAUUGUAGUCUGCAACUCGACUACAUGAAGCUGGAAUCGCUAGUAAUCGUAGAUCAGCAUGCUACGGUGAAUACGUUCCCGGGUCU
rnacentral:rRNA from 1 species